AUGCCCUGCUUCCAGGAAAAGCCUCUAAGCAUCAGGUAACAUCAAAUCGUACCCCAAACCGACACAGGUGGUCAGGUAGAGAAUACCAAGGCGCUUGAGAGAACUCGGGUGAAGGAACUAGGCAAAAUGGUGCCGUAACUUCGGGAGAAGGCACGCUGACACGUAGGUGAAGUGAUUUACUCAUGGAGCUGAAGUCAGUCGAAGAUACCAGCUGGCUGCAACUGUUUAUUAAAAACACAGCACUGUGCAAACACGAAAGUGGACGUAUACGGUGUGACGCCUGCCCGGUGCCGGAAGGUUAAUUGAUGGGGUCAGCGCAAGCGAAGCUCCUGAUCGAAGCCCCGGUAAACGGCGGCCGUAACUAUAACGGUCCUAAGGUAGCGAAAUUCCUUGUCGGGUAAGUUCCGACCUGCACGAAUGGCGUAAUGAUGGCCAGGCUGUCUCCACCCGAGACUCAGUGAAAUUGAACUCGCUGUGAAGAUGCAGUGUACCCGCGGCAAGACGGAAAGACCCCGUGAACCUUUACUAUAGCUUGACACUGAACAUUGAGCCUUGAUGUGUAGGAUAGGUGGGAGGCUUUGAAGUGUGGACGCCAGUCUGCAUGGAGCCGACCUUGAAAUACCACCCUUUAAUGUUUGAUGUUCUAACGUGGACCCGUGAUCCGGGUUGCGGACAGUGUCUGGUGGGUAGUUUGACUGGGGCGGUCUCCUCCUAAAGAGUAACGGAGGAGCACGAAGGUUGGCUAAUCCUGGUCGGACAUCAGGAGGUUAGUGCAAUGGCAUAAGCCAGCUUGACUGCGAGCGUGACGGCGCGAGCAGGUGCGAAAGCAGGUCAUAGUGAUCCGGUGGUUCUGAAUGGAAGGGCCAUCGCUCAACGGAUAAAAGGUACUCCGGGGAUAACAGGCUGAUACCGCCCAAGAGUUCAUAUCGACGGCGGUGUUUGGCACCUCGAUGUCGGCUCAUCACAUCCUGGGGCUGAAGUAGGUCCCAAGGGUAUGGCUGUUCGCCAUUUAAAGUGGUACGCGAGCUGGGUUUAGAACGUCGUGAGACAGUUCGGUCCCUAUCUGCCGUGGGCGCUGGAGAACUGAGGGGGGCUGCUCCUAGUACGAGAGGACCGGAGUGGACGCAUCACUGGUGUUCGGGUUGUCAUGCCAAUGGCACUGCCCGGUAGCUAAAUGCGGAAGAGAUAAGUGCUGAAAGCAUCUAAGCACGAAACUUGCCCCGAGAUGAGUUCUCCCUGAGACUUUAAGUCUCCUGAAGGAACGUUGAAGACGACGACGUUGAUAGGCCGGGUGUGUAAGCGCAGCGAUGCGUUGAGCUAACCGGUACUAAUGAACCGUGAGGCUUAACCUUACA
rnacentral:rRNA from 1 species